rnacentral:rRNA from 1 species
AUUGAGCACUGGCGGCAUGCCUUACACAUGCAAGUCGAACGGUAACGGGUCCUUCGGGAUGCCGACGAGUGGCGAACGGGUGAGUAAUAUAUCGGAACGUGCCCAGUAGUGGGGGAUAACUGCUCGAAAGAGCAGCUAAUACCGCAUACGACCUGAGGGUGAAAGGGGGGGAUCGCAAGACCUCUCGCUAUUGGAGCGGCCGAUAUCAGAUUAGCUAGUUGGUGGGGUAAAGGCCUACCAAGGCAACGAUCUGUAGUUGGUCUGAGAGGACGACCAGCCACACUGGGACUGAGACACGGCCCAGACUCCUACGGGAGGCAGCAGUGGGGAAUUUUGGACAAUGGGCGCAAGCCUGAUCCAGCAAUGCCGCGUGCAGGAAGAAGGCCUUCGGGUUGUAAACUGCUUUUGUCAGGGAAGAAAUCUUCUGGGCUAAUACCCCGGGAGGAUGACGGUACCUGAAGAAUAAGCACCGGCUAACUACGUGCCAGCAGCCGCCGUAA